rnacentral:tRNA from 1 species
GCCGGGGUGGCCGAGUGGCCUAAGGCGUCGGGCUGCAGUGGUCAACUAGCCUUAGACACCCGAUUUAUCCCGGGUUCGAAUCCCGGCCCCGGCU